GCAAAAAAAUGAAGAAAAUCAACACAAUGCGAAAUGUUGUUUGGCAGACCGAAUGCAAGUGGAUCUCGAGUGAAGCGGUUAGUUGGUGCAAUUAGAUUCCUCUGCUCUGCAAGUGCGAUAUCGUCAAGGCAUACCAGUAUGCAUUUAUAGACUUCUAUAUUUGGAUAUGAGUUCAACUUGAAGUAAAAGGUAGAAUUUGCAUUUUUUAACCAAGAGAGAGUAGGAAUUAUUGGGAAUGAGAAGAACAGGAAAUUAAUGAAAUUGAACUAAUUUCAGUGUAUGUGGAUUUAUAUUACUCUGAGGCUCUAAAAGGAUUUAGCGACCGGAGAAUAGAAAAUGCAAACGAUGUGUGGACUGCAUUAUUUUGGCUUGCGACAAUACAAUCGGAGCUCUGGGCACAGUCCUCAUAAAAACCAAUCAUUUGCCGCUCGAAGUCAGCUUAAACAUGGAGGGACCUAAACAUCAAGACAAACACCACAAAUAGGAGGAGACGCACACACAAAAAGGU